GUUACAUUGAAAAUAAAUAACAAUAACAAUAACACGGUGUUUCAGGCUUUUGAAGUCCUUAAAGACACGUCGCUGUGAUCUUUGUAGCACUGCUGCAGAAAAGAGGACACCAUUUCACAUUUCUGGCAUUACUAACGACAACACAGCAACUGAAAGAAAGCAUGAAUUUCUGGAAGUAGCAGUAGGAUGUAGGACUCCUGCUGAGCUCACCAGUUCCCUGCUCUGCGCAGCUGCCUUCUCAGCUGGGGGUUUUAAAUCAGCUCUGUGAGAAAAGACAGAAAUGACCAUGAUGCAUUUUCCUCACCCUGAGAAAAAGACUAUGAGCCAGGUACUAACGGGAGAUGAAGGACAAAGAGAACAUAGUUCCUACAUUUAAGGUCUGGGGGACUCAAUCUGAUGAAGAAGUUAGAUACAGAAACAGACAAUGGAGUCAUUGGCAGAGGGAGCACUGGAGGAUGCUUGCAAUUCUUCCUGGGGAGGUUGUCCCUGGUUCACCUUAUUUGGAAGGUACUUGGGUCUAACUUGCAUCACGUUUAGCUUGGAUCUACGCUUGAUUCAAUCAACCAUGAUCAAGGAGACUGGUGGAGUCGGCGGCUGGGAGAGUGAUUACAAUGACACUUGUCUUCUUUUCCAUUUCUCAGUUUCUAAAUAAAAGUGGCUAGCCAGCACCAACCGUCGAUUUAUCGUCUCAAUCGGAACUACUAUCCAAGGUCUCUUUUCUGAACCUUAAUUCUUCUUUCUUUAAACUUUCUUGACUGCAAACUAACAUCUCCUAUUUCAAUCCCUCCCUUCUUUCUUCCUGCUGGGCAACAUUGUUUUACUAUGAACUAUAACUUUACUGAUCUUAAUUUUUCCUUGAAAAUAAUUCUGGUUCUCUACUUGAUUAUGUUAUCUUAGGCCUUCUAAAUGACAACUCUCUAACUAUAGAAUCGUCUCCUGUGUAAGGCACUCUGAGGUAACCUUCCAGUGGCUUUGAAGUGGAUCCUUGACAAGUUGAAUCCUGAUAGUAGAGAAACUAAAAAGGUAUGAAGGCAUAAGAAAGUAAAGUACGUUUAGGAGAAUUUAGGGACACAGUCUAUGUGGGAAGAUAAACAUAGAUGAGUCUAAAAAAGGUAAGAAAAGAUUAUGGAGAAUUUGAAGACAGUGGUGAUCCCAUGAAGAAUUCAAAUAGGGGAAUGGCAUGAUUAGUUAUGCAUAUCAGAAGAAAGCUUAGCUUGGUGAAAGACUUAGAAGCCAUUUAAGGAUUAUUAAAAUAAUCUCAAGAAAUGUAACCCAGUGUGAUGGCCGUGGAGAACAAAUAUGCGAGCUGUUUAGGAGGCAGAAUUUAUAGGACUUUGUGGAGUGGUGAGAGACAAAAGGUUGUAGCUGACUCUGAAAGCUCUGAUAUUUGGAGAGGCUGAGACAAUGUUAUCAUCAAAAAAGAAAAAUGCAGAAGGAUUACGUGUGGCUGAAGCGUGUACGUGGGUGUGUGUGGGGGAUGGGUAACACAUUUACUUUGGCUUACAUUGACUUUUAGAAGCCAUUGGGCCAUUUAAUGGGAAAUGUCCAAAGAACAGAUGGGUUUGUGGCGUACGAACCCAGGUAAAAGAUCGAGGUCUGAGUCCUAAUGUUGAUGGGCAAAGCUAAUGAAGGGCGAAGGAGACUGAGUACAAAGAACUUUCAGGAACAGAGCAGCUUUAAGGAGAGGAAUCCAGGGGACACUUAUUUUCACAGGAUGAGAGAAAGAGAGGAAUCAGCAGAGUUUAAAAAGAAAUUCAAAGCCUGGAGUUUACUUUUAACCAUGCAGGAGAGAGUGAUUGAUUGAAAGUUAAGGAAGAAAAGAAUUCUGGAGAGGAAGGUAUGAUUAACAGUAUUAAAAAUUACAGACAGCAAAUAAGGCAAAAUUUAUGUAGACCUAAGUAAUUUCUAAAUGUCUGCUCUGAGCACCUUACUCUUGGAAGGUAAUUAAGUACUUAGCUUCACCCCCAGUGUGUAUGUGGCCCCCGGUCAAGGCAGGCAGCCUUUGCUCUCCUAUGACACUCGUGACACUGUUUCUAACUGAUGUGGCACUCAACAGUCCUAAUUUUUUCUUGUUCCUCACCUCUGAGA